UCUAAAUUGACCUCUUUAUUCAUUGGGAUUAAGUCCCUUCUUAUAGACGAUCUUGUUAGAAACUUAUCUGUAUUGAAGGCCCAAGGGGCAUAUAUAUAUUACACAUAACUUGAGGUGCAAGGAAAGUAAACAUAGACUAAUAAGGACUCCUAGACUAAUACUAAUAGACUAAUAAGGACUUCUAGACUAAUACUAAUACUUCCUAACACUCCCCCUCAAAUGCAAAGCGUAUGCAAUAGCAUUGCAUUUGAAGAAGUGUAAUACUAAAAAACAAUGAUAAUCCAAAUCCGCGUCUUGAGAGUGUCGUCGUAGCAUGAAGAGUCUUCAAAACUUGUCGAGUCGCCGAAGGAGAGAACGAAGAGAUGGCACAUCAGAGGUAGACACCGCAUCACUUGAAGAUACAAGAUAAGUAUCAAAAGAAGAUGGGUUGUCAAAAGAAGAUGACACAUCAGAGGAAGACACCGAAGAGAUGGCACAUCAGAGAAAGACACCGCAUCACUUGAAGAUACAACAUAAGUAUCAAGAGAAGAUGGGUUGUCAAAAGAAGAUGGCACAUCAAGAGAAUAAAGCAUUGUGCAGAAAAUCAUAAUCCACGACAACCGUCGGCGAAAGAAGCUCGGCGGAUAAGGCACGAUAGACGUAGAUCGACAAUGCAAAAGAAGUCCAGACAAUCUUAUAGAAAACAACAAGGGCAAGUAGGCCACAAAAGUUGCAUAGAAAGGAUCAGGACCGGAGAAAGGCUGACGGACUAAGAUAUGGUGGACUCCCAUGGCAUGGGAAAACACAAAAUAUCAACGGAUUUGGUGGACGCAGCGGAAAACAAAGAAAACUAGAAAACACCCACUAGAUUAGGGAUGAUGGCAGCGAAAGAGAAAAAAAAAAUCAUGGCGGCGAAGGCAAUUCCAACCAGAGUGUGCGUGAGACGGUCCUGACUGUGUAGAAGGUGGUUGCUCAGUGCGGAAAGCCUGAGUCACAAUACCAGCAGUACCCGUCGAGGAAAACCUGAAGCAGCGAGCAGACGCUUAAGUCUCAGAAUAUCUUGCUCAGUCAAAGCGAUGGCUGAAGCUGUCGAGGUAGAUGACGAAGUCUCUGUAGAUGGUGAUUGCGCCUGGCGCAAGUGUUUCUUCUUCGUGUAGCAGUGGGACUCAAUAUGACCAUCAUGGUUGCAGUAGCCACAAUGUGGACGGAGGCGAUCUGAGCCUCCAGAAGGAGUGGGCAAGAGCGGCGGAGCACUCGAGUGAGAAGGGGUCGGUGCAGUAGGUGGCGUAGAAGUAGCCCGAGCAGCGAGCACCGAGGGAACCUCCAGCAAACCAGCACCACGUAAGCGAGUCUCCUCAGCACGAAUCUCAGAAAGCGCCUUCAUGAGAGAAAUACGGCCACGAGCAAACAACUGAGCACGUCGGGACUCAAACUCCUUACGGAGCCGAGACAGGAACUCGUAGACGCGAUGAAACUCCAAGUUGGCCUGGACAGCCUGGCAACAGGGGCAAGUACGACAACCANGCAUAGAAGUCAUCAACAGUAGAGUCACCCUGUUGAAGAGCAUGCUCCUGACGAACCACGGAGAAGUAUAAGGCAUCACCAGAGGGCGCAUAGCGCUGACGAAGGCGAGUCCGCAUCUCAAAGGCAGUAGGAAGGCCCAAAAACUCAGAGGCAAACUGAGUCAGAACACUAGCAGUGAGAACAGCUGCAGCACGAGCAUCAUCAUCAAGCCACUGGGUGUAAGCGGACAGAGCACCGUGAUACAGCUAAAGAGCCUCCUCAUAAGCCAAGACCUUCUCAUCAUAAGCACUCACAGCGGCCUCGUCAGCAAGCUUAGCCGCAUCCUUUGUGGUCUGAGGAGCAUCCGCAGGAAGAGCCGGUGGAGUCGGCGGAGUAGGAGCCAUGGGAGGAACUGGACAUGGCGGUCAUACCUCGUCAGAAAGAAAACCCCAUAGACGGAUGGCACGCAUGUGAAUGCGCAUGAAGCCAAUGAACUCGGUGUAGUUAGCGCCAUCAAAGAUCACCGGACAAUGAGGAACAACAACGUAGCCGAAUGCAGCAGACAUUUUUUUUUUAGGAACGGCGGCUGGCAGCAGUGACUUAGCGGCGGCUGGUGGAUCAGUUUUCACGUGGAGGAAGCGGCGGCUGUUAGCCGUACCGAGAGCAGCAACAGCUCGUGGAUCGGUAACAGUGGCGGCUAUUACGUGCUGAGAGCAGCAACAGCUUGUGGAUCGGAAACAGCGGCGGCUGUUACGCGUACUGAGAGCAGCAGCAGCUUUGUGGAUCGGUAACAGCGGCGGCCUCCGGAUUUAGACGCGUAUGAGCCGCCUCCUGUCCCGAGCGGAAAGAAGACCCGGAUUCGAUCCCGUCUGGAUCGAUCCGAGCUGGAGCGGGAGACGUCCUGGAGAAACGAGAUCCGAGCUGGAGCGGGACGAGAGACCAAAGCUGGCGGCGGAUAGCAGCGAGAUGUCACGGGCCGAGCUGGAGACGCGGCUGCAGCACGAGCACGACGCGGGAGGAAGCGUCGGCGAGAAAGGCUGCAGCGAGAGCGUCGGGAAGGAGGAAAAAUAGCACGAGUUGCGCGUGCGAAAAAAGAACCUAUGGCUCUAAUACCAUGUUGGAAAAGCAACUUAUCUGUAUUGAAGGCCCAAGGGGCAUAUAUAUAUUACACAUAACUUGAGGUGCAAGGAAAGUAAACAUAGACUAAUAAGGACUCCUAGACUAAUACUAAUAGACUAAUAAGGACUCCUAGACUAAUACUAAUACUUCCUAACAGAUCUAACUUAGCCCUCAAGGAAAAACUAAACUGAUUACAAUCUGGACUCUUUCUCUCUUUAUCUAAACAGACUCUGAAAGCUAAUUGGAUUCUGACUCAAACUGAAAGCCACGGGAAACAGAGUUUCCCUGCUACUCACUCCCCCUAUGGUGGUUCCUUUGCUGUAUUAUUGUGGGCCCUAAGGCUAUAAGUCUGGCUGCACAUAACAUCACUUCUCUCCUCGAAAAGCAGCUCGUCCUUGUUAGAGUUACUAGUAAAUGUGCCCGUGCGUUGCAACGGGAGAAAAAAAUCACAUGCGCUAUCUUCCUUACACAUAGGUCCACAUCGCUUACUUGUGAGGGUAUAUGGCUGUCUAUCCAUAUUCAAGUUAAGAAAUAUCACAAUGCAGAUCAUUUAUACAUGAAAAAUUCAACCUUUAAAGAAAAUGAGGUGAAAGAGUGAACUUUUGGAAUAAACGUAAAAGCGAAUUGCCUUUUGGGGCAAUGUAUUACUAAAAUAUCAAUGUAUUAUUAAAAUAUCCUUACAACUUAAGAUGUGAUCAUGAGAAAACAAAGUUGAAGAAUUCAUUUUUUAUCAAGAAAAGAAGGAGAGAACAAUGCUCAAAACUGCAAAUGUGAGAUUGUAGACAACACACAAAUUAUCAAUCACUUGAUCUAGUUUGGUCGCCUUAUUCCAACUAAAGAAUAUUAUAUACCAAUGAGGUCAAUCUCCAUGUUGUACCAAAUUAUCAAUUCAUCAACUAAUUUUAAAAAUCUAACUGGUGAUGAACUAAAUGAUUCACACAAAGAGCUGCAAUUAGAGGAAGUGGAUAAGAAUGGCAAUUAAUAUAAAUGGCAAACAACAUUCUAACAAAAAAGUACAAUACUUAUAGACACGGGUAACAAAUUUGGAAUUUAUAAUUUGAUUGAAUGGAAAAAAACCUCCGCUUUAUCGGUGAUGCCAAUCCUGAAAUAAGAUGACAACUUGAAGGAAAGAGAAAAGCAAUUUAUUCGGAGCUCGUAGCUCAUAACGCAAAUUGUUGUUUCCAGUUUGACAGGUAGACAUAUACCAGUUUCCCUUACAUGUGUGCCCCUUCAAAAUAUUGCAUUGCUCUCAUUACCAAACAUAGGAUGUCAAAUAUUUAACCUGCAAACCAAAACAUGUUACAAUAUCUAUGAAGAGUUGCAUCUACUUCAUUUCAAUGCGAUAUUAAUUAGGAGGUAGUAGCAUGCAACAUUUACAAAUAAAAGUUUUGCAGUGCGCCAAGGGCCUCUUCAAAAUUUCGUUAAGCUGAAUCUUAUCGUACUUGCCGGCACCUCCUUUUGGUCCUUCUCAUCGGAUUCCAUCUGAGAUGGCUACAUGGCCGCCUGGAUGAUCAUCAAAUCGACUCAAGUUAUUAACAGCAAGCCUUUGUCUCCUCUCAUCUCAACAGAUUGUGAAUUUGAUUUCACAAAAUUAUAUUUCCAAAACAUAUCCUGAAUAUUUGAUGAUCUUGUACUAACUAUAUAGUAUGAUAGAACUACAAAAAGAAAAGUAUGACGCCGAUAGACUGACCAACCCGUUCUUGGCUUGUUCACUCUGUUUGCUCUACACCGCGGAUUACAUUUACAUUCUCAUAGUAUCAUUUCAAAUGUCUCACGAAUUAACAUCACAGAACUUCUCUUGAAAAAUAUGAGGUCAUGCAGGAUGCAACUAACCUUGGGUCGUCAGGGAAACCGAGCAAGAUGUGUUAUCCGCGGCCAUGUCCUUGGCCGACCUCUUCUGUUGCUCCGUUCUAGCCCAAUCAUCAGUUAACUCCAACCACACCAACCCUCUUGAAUUCGAACUCUGAUCCACCACCAUGGGUCACUGUCAGCAGCUCCUCGCAGCGUGCUGACACAAAACCCGCCGCUGUCGUCGGAAUCUUCUAGCUGCACUCAAUAAAAAAUUCAGUGUCGAACAGGCACACAAAUACCUUUAAAGUAAUUUCCUUGUACAAAUAGGCAAGUAGGAGAAACUUACAGGGAGCAGGUUGUACUGACCAACAUCUAAAAACUGACAUAUCUUUGAUGAAGCUACAUAACUUUACAUACAUCUACUAACUUAUUAUCCUAUGAUCAAGUGUUACUUUCCCUAGAUGAUUAACCUGGAACAGAUGACAAUAAAUACGAUCAGUGCCGGUACCAAUAAUCAGUACACAUAUCUAAAAUUUUCUCUCUUAAGGAGCGCAAAAAACAUGACAGAACAUCACAUAACUAAUCCAAACCAUAUCUCCCUGUACAAAAUUGCCACAAGCAGAGUAAAGAACAUCACACACAGCAACAGGAUAUGAUACAAAUCCCCAUCUUAACUGUUUCAAAAUUUCUCUAGUUGAACCCAUCGCAUACAUUGGAAAAGAUGCUAAGUAACGUGUUCACACACUGACAAU
rnacentral:lncRNA from 1 species